GGAAGAAGCAGAAUCCCCAUGAGAGGGGCAUAGGACAGAGCAGCCAAGUAAGAAUUAUGGAGCUAACCUCUGCUACACAACCACCUUGAACCUGGCCAGCCAGUGGUGAUCGAGGCAGAAGUUGAUUCUGCUCUUAGGCAGGCAGUCUUUGUUUAUUGAGGAAGGCAGACACUACUGAACCAUUGACAGAAGAAACAGGGAGACUACUACAAAGUAGGGAUCGGGAGCCUCUUGAGAACACACAUGGGGUCUCCUCUGCCUUAUCAGAAACCGGAAGUUUGAAUGUCCGCUGAAACUGUAGGGAGCUUCCUGACAACUCCAGGCACAGGAACGAGCUGGGAAGUCCUUAGCCACGUACCUUCAUCUUGAACACUUGGUUCUCAGUCCUCACAGGCCCUGGGAAUAGAUAUACUGCUAGCUCAAAGUUACAUUUGAGAAAAACUUCAGCUUGCCCCAGUGGCAUGCACGGAUGACUUUGAAGCCCAGUCCAGGAAUUACAGGUGCAGUAGAAUCACAGGGACUGGAGAGAUGGCUCAGCGGUUAAGAGCACUGACUGCUCUUCCAGAGGUCCUGAGUUCAAAUCCCAGCAACCACAUGGUGGCUCACAGCCAUCUGUAAUGGGAUCCGAUGCCCUCUUCUGGUGUGUCUGAAGACAGCGACAGUGUACUCACGUACAUUAAAUAAAUAAAUAAAUAAAUAAAUAAAUAAUAAAAAAUUAAAAUAUAA